AGAGUUUGAUCCUGGCUCAGAAUCAACGCUGGCGGCGCGCUUAACACAUGCAAGUCGCACGAGAAAGCGGGGGCAACCUCGUAAGUAAAGUGGCGUACGGGUGAGUAACACGUGGGUAAUCUACCUCUGGGUGUGGAAUAACGCUGGGAAACCGGCGCUAAUACCGCAUAAGCUCGGGAGAGGAAAGCAGCAAUGCGCCGAGAGAGGAGCCCGCGGCCGAUUAGCUAGUUGGUGAGGUAACGGCCCACCAAGGCUUAGAUCGGUAGCCGGCCUGAGAGGGCACACGGCCACACUGGCACUGAAACACGGGCCAGACUCCUACGGGAGGCAGCAGUGGGGAAUCUUGCACAAUGGGGGCAACCCUGAUGCAGCGACGCCGCGUGAGCGAUGAAGCCCUUCGGGGUGUAAAGCUCUUUCGGCAGGGAAG
rnacentral:rRNA from 1 species